AUCCACCCUCUAUGUAACCCUCCCAAAUAAUAAGCCCCUGCCAGAUUUUGAGCUAAGAGAUGAUCGGCAGUCCUCGCCAUCAAGUUUAAGUGCAGAAGAUGUGCAAACGGCAGACACUGUUCCACGGUCACCUUUCCAGGUGCCCACGUGGGCUCGUUUCCACUUUUGGCGUCUUGGCAUUUACACAGGCAGGCAUCGUUCAAAGCCCUGGGCUCCUGGACCGUAGGACACGAUGACAGUAGUCUUUGAGAGUGUCCUUGUUUUGUAGGAUGUCAUGAUAUACAUCCGCUGCCCCAGACCUGGAAUCAGCCAUUUCUCUGAGGAACCUCAGUUCCCUUUACUGAGAAAUAUAUUUAGAAACCAGAAUCUGGCCUCAAAGGAAACAGCUCACUUCUUCAGGGCUGGUUGCUAUUUCUAGUUCCCUUCCGUGGACAGAGAUGAGAGAAAGAACACCAGGAGAGGAGCAGAUCUUGGAAGGUUGAAUGGAGAAGAAAGAAUCCAGAUGUCUUUCAUGAAGCCAGUCAUUCAAGAGGUUUUUAAAAACGUAAAGCAAUACUACUCUUUUCACUAAUCUCUGCAGUGGAAAAAACAGUUAUUUUUUCAUAAAAAGUAUUUUGCUCUUA